UACGGGGGGGGCAAGCGUUAUCCGGAAUUAUUGGGCGUAAAGAGCUCGUAGGCGGUUUGUCGCGUCUGCCGUGAAAGUCCGGGGCUCAACUCCGGAUCUGCGGUGGGUACGGGCAGACUAGAGUGAUGUAGGGGAGACUGGAAUUCCUGGUGUAGCGGUGAAACGCGCAGAUAUCAGGAGGAACACCGAUGGCGAAGGCAGGUCUCUGGGCAUUAACUGACGCUGAGGAGCGAAAGCAUGGGGAGCGAACAGG
rnacentral:rRNA from 1 species